GAUGAACGCUGGCGGCGUGCCUAAUACAUGCAAGUCGAGCGAACGGACGAGAAGCUUGCUUCUCUGAUGUUAGCGGCGGACGGGUGAGUAACACGUGGAUAACCUACCUAUAAGACUGGGAUAACUUCGGGAAACCGGAGCUAAUACCGGAUAAUAUUUUGAACCGCAUGGUUCAAAAGUGAAAGACGGUCUUGCUGUCACUUAUAGAUGGAUCCGCGCUGCAUUAGCUAGUUGGUAAGGUAACGGCUUACCAAGGCAACGAUGCAUAGCCGACCUGAGAGGGUGAUCGGCCACACUGGAACUGAGACACGGUCCAGACUCCUACGGGAGGCAGCAGUAGGGAAUCUUCCGCAAUGGGCGAAAGCCUGACGGAGCAACGCCGCGUGAGUGGUGAAGGUCUUCGGAUCGUAAAACUCUGUUAUUAGGGAAGAACAUAUGUGUAAGUAACUGUGCACAUCUUGACGGUACCUAAUCAGAAAGCCACGGCUAACUACGUGCCAGCAGCCGCGGUAAUACGUAGGUGGCAAGCGUUAUCCGGAAUUAUUGGGCGUAAAGCGCGCGUAGGCGGUUUUUUAAGUCUGAUGUGAAAGCCCACGGCUCAACCGUGGAGGGUCAUUGGAAACUGGAAAACUUGAGUGCAGAAGAGGAAAGUGGAAUUCCAUGUGUAGCGGUGAAAUGCGCAGAGAUAUGGAGGAACACCAGUGGCGAAGGCGACUUUCUGGUCUGUAACUGACGCUGAUGUGCGAAAGCGUGGGGAUCAAACAGGAUUAGAUACCCUGGUAGUCCACGCCGUAAACGAUGAGUGCUAAGUGUUAGGGGGUUUCCGCCCCUUAGUGCUGCAGCUAACGCAUUAAGCACUCCGCCUGGGAAGUACGACCGCAAGGUUGAAACUCAAAGGAAUUGACGGGGACCCGCACAAGCGGUGGAGCAUGUGGUUUAAUUCGAAGCAACGCGAAGAACCUUACCAAAUCUUGACAUCCUUUGACAACUCUAGAGAUAGAGCCUUCCCCUUCGGGGGACAAAGUGACAGGUGGUGCAUGGUUGUCGUCAGCUCGUGUCGUGAGAUGUUGGGUUAAGUCCCGCAACGAGCGCAACCCUUAAGCUUAGUUGCCAUCAUUAAGUUGGGCACUCUAAGUUGACUGCCGGUGACAAACCGGAGGAAGGUGGGGAUGACGUCAAAUCAUCAUGCCCCUUAUGAUUUGGGCUACACACGUGCUACAAUGGACAAUACAAAGGGCAGCGAAACCGCGAGGUCAAGCAAAUCCCAUAAAGUUGUUCUCAGUUCGGAUUGUAGUCUGCAACUCGACUACAUGAAGCUGGAAUCGCUAGUAAUCGUAGAUCAGUAUGCUACGGUGAAUACGUUCCCGGGUCU
rnacentral:rRNA from 1 species